rnacentral:lncRNA from 1 species
CCUUAAACAUAACCGAUAGAAUUAUGGUAAACUCCAAUAUUUGGGUGGGCAAUGGCACAUUAUUCAUUCAUUGGUAUAUGAUAAUAUCUUGAAUACCUUAAACAUAACCGAUAGAAUUAUGGUAAACUCCAAUAUUUGGGUGGGCAAUGGCACAUUAUUCAUUCAUUGGUAUAUGAUAAUAUCUUGAAUACCUUAAACAUAACCGAUAGAAUUAU